AAGCAACCUCUCCCACCGACAUUUUCACACUAUAAAUCAAACAAUCAAAAGAGGAAAAAAAAAAGAAUAAAUAAUAUAAAAAAUGUUGAAUUUACUUAUUAUCAGAAUGUGGCAUGAAUAUCUGACAUAGAAAAGUACACGGCGAAGCUGGUUACCUUGAAGGAACGAGAUCGAAGAGGAGUAGGGUUUUCCUGCGGUGCUGCAAAAUGGCAAUGAAAUUUGAUUCCAGGGUUUCGGGGUUUAUUUUACAACGCUUUACAGUUGAUGGUAAAGCCUGUAAUGGGCCGUUUUUGAAUUAGCCCAUUUUAAUCCCUUCUUUUUUGGCAUGUGUUGAAAAAUACAAGGGAAGUAAGUAUAAAAGAGAGUAACAGGUGUAUUGAAAAAUUAAUAAUUCGUGUCUAUUUGUAACGAAAUAAUAAUAAUUUCAU
rnacentral:lncRNA from 1 species